CACUUUCAGUGCAGGAGACUUUCUUUCCAGGAUACUCUGCACACCUGUUGGGGUUCUUUGAAAUAGCUGCUUCACUCAUGCUCUUAAGUAGAUUUCAACUGCUUUGAUAUGUUGAGUGGAUUUUGCUCAAUUGCAAAGAGGUAAUGGACAGAACUUCAGAGAGCUCUCUUAAGUGCUGAGAAAGAGAAGAUGUCAUUCACCAGAAGAUGUCAGAACACAGCAGAGCAGGAUUAUGGAAACGCAUUCCUUGGCACACUUUAGGCAAUGAACACACGUGAUCUUGAAGAAAAACCUUUAAGAGCUGCAAGCACUCACCAUAUUGGAGAUUAUACCUAAUUAUUUAGUGGCAUCAGUAAGGUGUUUGAAGGAUAACAGUAGGAACCGG